rnacentral:tRNA from 1 species
GCACCACUAGCUCAACUGGUAGAGCAACGGACUCUUAAUCCGUGGGUUCCGGGUUCGAGUCCCGGGUGGUGCACGA